rnacentral:rRNA from 1 species
UACGUAGGGGGUAAGCGUUGUCCGGAUUUAUUGGGCGUAAAGAGCGUGUAGGCGGCCAGGUAGGUCCGCUGUGAAAACUCGAGGCUCAACCUCGAGAUGUCGGCGGAAACCAUCUGGCUAGAGUCCGGAAGAGGAGAGUGGAAUUCCUGGUGUAGCGGUGAAAUGCGCAGAUAUCAGGAAGAACACCCGUGGCGAAGGCGGCUCUCUGGGACGGUACUGACGCUGAGACGCGAAAGCGUGGGGAGCGAACAGG